rnacentral:rRNA from 1 species
AGAGUUUGAUGGUGGCUCAGGAUGAACGCUGGCGGCGUGCCUAACACAUGCAAGUUGAGCGAUUUACUUCGGUAAAGAGCGGCGGACGGGUGAGUAACGCGUGGGUAACCUACCCUGUACACACGGAUAACAUACCGAAAGGUAUGCUAAUACGGGAUAAUAUAUUUGAGAGGCAUCUCUUGAAUAUCAAAGGUGAGCUAGUACAGGAUGGACCCGCGUCUGAUUAGCUAGUUGGUAAGGUAACGGCUUACCAAGGCGACGAUCAGUAGCCGACCUGAGAGGGUGAUCGGCCACAUUGGAACUGAGACACGGUCCAAGCUCCUACGGGAGGCAGCAGUGGGGAAUAUUGCACAAUGGGCGAAAGCCUGAUGCAGCAACGCCGCGUGAGUGAUGAAGGCCUUCGGGUCGUAAAACUCUGUCCUCAAGGAAGAUAAUGACGGUACUUGAGGAGGAAGCCCCGGCUAACUACGUGCCAGCAGCCGCGGUAAUACGUAGGGGGCUAGCGUUAUCCGGAUUUACUGGGCGUAAAGGGUGCGUAGGCGGUCUUUCAAGUCAGGAGUGAAAGGCUACGGCUCAACCGUAGUAAGCUCUUGAAACUGGGAGACUUGAGUGCAGGAGAGGAGAGUGGAAUUCCUAGUGUAGCGGUGAAAUGCGUAGAUAUUAGGAGGAACACCAGUUGCGAAGGCGGCUCUCUGGACUGUAACUGACGCUGAGGCACGAAAGCGUGGGGAGCAAACAGGAUUAGAUACCCUGGUAGUCCACGCUGUAAACGAUGAGUACUAGGUGUCGGGGGUUACCCCCCUCGGUGCCGCAGCUAACGCAUUAAGUACUCCGCCUGGGAAGUACGCUCGCAAGAG